rnacentral:rRNA from 1 species
UACGGAGGAGGCAAGCGUUAUCCGGAAUUAUUGGGCGUAAAGCGUCCGUAGGUGGUGAUUCAAGUCAGCGGUUAAAGCGUGGGGCUUAACCUCAUACAGGCCGUUGAAACUGGAUUGCUAGAGUGCGGUAGGGGUCGAGGGAAUUCCCAGUGUAGCGGUGAAAUGCGUAGAUAUUGGGAAGAACACCGGUGGCGAAAGCGCUCGGCUGGGCCUGCACUGACACUGAGGCACGAAAGCGUGGGUAGCAAACAGG